rnacentral:snRNA from 1 species
UGAUGUGAGGGUGAUCUGGCUGUGGCAUCUGUCACCCAAUUGAUCACCAGGGUCUGGCUGGCUAGAUGAGUGUCCCCUUCCUUCCUCGCCACUCCAUGUACACUACUCCCAAGCUGCGCACUCUGUCGAAGAGGACAACCAUCCAUGAUAGAGGAGAACCGGUCUUUGGUCAAGGGUUGUAAGAGUAGCUGUGCUCCCCUGUUAGAACCUCCGAGCAAGCUCUCAAGAAAACUAUCAUAAGAUUGAAAUCUCCAAGAUGUGAAAGAGACGAUAUCUAUUUUUCAUCAGAGACAAUAAAAAUUGUUUCUUGAAAUUGAGAUGGAGUAAUUU